GAUGAACGCUGGCGGCGUGCCUAAUACAUGCAAGUCGAGCGAACGGACGAGAAGCUUGCUUCUCUGAUGUUAGCGGCGGACGGGUGAGUAACACGUGGAUAACCUACCUAUAAGACUGGGAUAACUUCGGGAAACCGGAGCUAAUACCGGAUAAUAUUUUGAACCGCAUGGUUCAAAAGUGAAAGACGGUCUUGCUGUCACUUAUAGAUGGAUCCGCGCUGCAUUAGCUAGUUGGUAAGGUAACGGCUUACCAAGGCAACGAUGCAUAGCCGACCUGAGAGGGUGAUCGGCCACACUGGAACUGAGACACGGUCCAGACUCCUACGGGAGGCAGCAGUAGGGAAUCUUCCGCAAUGGGCGAAAGCCUGACGGAGCAACGCCGCGUGAGUGAUGAAGGUCUUCGGAUCGUAAAACUCUGUUAUUAGGGAAGAACAUAUGUGUAAGUAACUGUGCACAUCUUGACGGUACCUAAUCAGAAAGCCACGGCUAACUACGUGCCAGCAGCCGCGGUAAUACGUAGGUGGCAAGCGUUAUCCGGAAUUAUUGGGCGUAAAGCGCGCGUAGGCGGUUUUUUAAGUCUGAUGUGAAAGCCCACGGCUCAACCGUGGAGGGUCAUUGGAAACUGGAAAACUUGAGUGCAGAAGAGGAAAGUGGAAUUCCAUGUGUAGCGGUGAAAUGCGCAGAGAUAUGGAGGAACACCAGUGGCGAAGGCGACUUUCUGGUCUGUAACUGACGCUGAUGUGCGAAAGCGUGGGGAUCAAACAGGAUUAGAUACCCUGGUAGUCCACGCCGUAAACGAUGAGUGCUAAGUGUUAGGGGGUUUCCGCCCCUUAGUGCUGCAGCUAACGCAUUAAGCACUCCGCCUGGGGAGUACGACCGCAAGGUUGAAACUCAAAGGAAUUGACGGGGACCCGCACAAGCGGCGGAGCAUGUGGUUUAAUUCGAAGCAACGCGAAGAACCUUACCAAAUCUUGACAUCCUUUGACAACUCUAGAGAUAGAGCCUUCCCCUUCGGGGGACAAAGUGACAGGUGGUGCAUGGUUGUCGUCAGCUCGUGUCGUGAGAUGUUGGGUUAAGUCCCGCAACGAGCGCAACCCUUAAGCUUAGUUGCCAUCAUUAAGUUGGGCACUCUAAGUUGACUGCCGGUGACAAACCGGAGGAAGGUGGGGAUGACGUCAAAUCAUCAUGCCCCUUAUGAUUUGGGCUACACACGUGCUACAAUGGACAAUACAAAGGGCAGCGAAACCGCGAGGUCAAGCAAAUCCCAUAAAGUCGUUCUCAGUUCGGAUUGUAGUCUGCAACUCGACUACAUGAAGCUGGAAUCGCUAGUAAUCGUAGAUCAGCAUGCUACGGUGAAUACGUUCCCGGGUCU
rnacentral:rRNA from 1 species